GACGAACGCUGGCGGCGUGCUUAACACAUGCAAGUCGAACGGAAAGGCCCUGCUUUUGUGGGGUGCUCGAGUGGCGAACGGGUGAGUAACACGUGAGUAACCGGCCCUUGACUUUGGGAUAACUUCAGGAAACUGGGGCUAAUACCGGAUAGGAGCUCCUGCUGCAUGGUGGGGGUUGGAAAGUUUCGGCGGUUGGGGAUGGACGCGCGGCUUAUCAGCUUGUUGGUGGGGUAGUGGCUUACCAAGGCUUUGACGGGUAGCCGGCCUGGGAGGGUGACCGGCCACAAUGGGACUGAGAUACGGCGCAGACUCCUACGGGAGGCAGCAGUGGGGAAUAUUGCACAAUGGGCGGACGCCUGAUGCAGCAACGCCGCGUGCGGGAUGACGGCCUUCGGGUUGUAAACCGCUUUCGCCUGUGACGAAGCGUGAGUGACGGUAAUGGGUGAAGAAGCACCGGCUAACUACGUG
rnacentral:rRNA from 1 species